ACUUACAUUUUGAACUUCAUUUCUAAUGCAGACACUUAAAGCAGCUCUAUUCACCUCCCAAAAAGGUGUUCAAGCUGAGAUGGUAUACAUACGAUGCCGAAACCUUCAUCAACUCCUCCAAAGAUUGUUUGCACUCUUCUGUUUGGACUGUUUUUCCAUGUGUGGCUUGUGAAAUCACAGGAGGAGUGAUUGUUGCCCAGGUACAUGAUUUGAGCAGAGUCAAACCUGUGGAGUUGAGUGUGACGAAGUAGAGAGCGUGGACGUAGAGGUUUAUUGGGAACCUGGCCCUCUGUUACUGCAGUACCUAAAUUUCUACCUUGCCUUUUCAGGGAGAACGAGAUUCCAUGCUUUUGAAAGGCAUGAGUUUUGAAAGGCAUGACUGCAAUUAGCAACGUGUGAAUAACAACAUACACAAUCUCUUCAUCAACAACAAGGAACUGCAUUCUGACCUUCACAUUGUCUACGUGUGCUACUGAGUGUGGGGUCAUAUCCUAAGCUUCAGCUCUAAUAAGCAUUCAUCAAAGGGAAGGUAUGAUCUUGGAUAUUCAGUUGGCCACAAAUUAGCUUUAAGUACAUUUAUGGUCAAGUCAAAUGGUAGCUUUGCUGAAACAUUAAUAGAAAAGCAUUGGUAAUUCAUGUCAGAAUGAGAUACAAAAUAAUAGGUGAAAAAUGAUUUCACAUAAAAGAAAUUUUGAUAAACCUAGAAAACAAUUUAUUUUUGUCCAUUAACAUUAGCAUUUUAAAGAGCUACUUGAAUCACAUGUUGUUCCUUCCCAUAAGAAGAGAUUUUGAGUACAACAGGAUGAAUUUCUCAUUGAGAAACUUGUUUUUGCCCCAGUUUCCUUUCUAGUCUCCAGUAGGACAGUGUCAUCAUUCAGUAUUGGUGUUGUAGCAACUUAGAUGCACCAAAUUGCAACACAUAGGACUUAAGUCAGAGCCCCAUGGCAGUGACUCUGAAAAGACUAGUUUUAUUAGUUAUACUAUUAAGGGGUUUUUGUUGCUGUUUUAAAAGACUCCCAGAAAUCCAAAUUUACAUUUUGUGGAACAUGAGCCAAAACUAAUUGAGGUUGUUAUGGAAAAAUGGUCUCAUUUUAAUGGUCUAUAUUACCUCUGGGACCCUGCUGGUCAAAGCUGUGUGGCCCACAAGGCAAAAAUUAGAAUGACGUUUUUCAUAUUGUCUUAAUUUUUUAUUACUGACUUUGUUACAGCUUGAUCUUUGGAGGUGCUUCGUACUGUGUAAAUGAAAUUUACUGAAAAUGUACAUGAAUAACUGACGUCCCAAUAAACCAUAAAUUGAUUUUUUUAUAUUA